rnacentral:rRNA from 1 species
AGUGGCGGACGGGUGAGUAACGCGUGAGAAUCUGCCCUCAGGGGGGGGAUAACGGUUGGAAACGACCGCUAAUACCCCAUAUGCCGCGAGGUGAAAUGAAUUUCGCCUGAGGAUGAGCUCGCGUCUGAUUAGUUAGUUGGUGGGGUAAAGGCCUACCAAGACAUCGAUCAGUAGCUGGUCUGAGAGGAUGAUCAGCCACACUGGGACUGAGACACGGCCCAGACUCCUACGGGAGGCAGCAGUGGGGAAUUUUCCGCAAUGGGCGAAAGCCUGACGGAGCAACGCCGCGUGAGGGAUGAAGGCCUCUGGGCUGUAAACCUCUUUUAUCAAGGAAGAAGAUCUGACGGUACUUGAUGAAUAAGCCACGGCUAAUUCCGUGCCAGCAGCCGCGGUAAUACGGGAGUGGCAAGCGUUAUCCGGAAUUAUUGGGCGUAAAGCGUCCGCAGGCGGUCUGUCAAGUCUGCUGUUAAAGCGUGGAGCUUAACUCCAUUUCGGCAGUGGAAACUGACAGACUAGAGUGUGGUAGGGGCAGAGGGAAUUCCCGGUGUAGCGGUGAAAUGCGUAGAUAUCGGGAAGAACACCAGUGGCGAAGGCGCUCUGCUGGGCCAUAACUGACGCUCAUGGACGAAAGCCAGGGGAGCGAAAGGGAUUAGAUACCCCUGUAGUCCUGGCCGUAAACGAUGAACACUAGGUGUCGGGGGAAUCGACCCCCUCGGUGUCGUAGCCAACGCGUUAAGUGUUCCGCCUGGGGAGUACGCACGCAAGAAUGAAACUCAAAGGAAUUGACGGGGGCCCGCACAAGCGGAGGAACAUGUGGUUUAAUUCGAUGAUACGCGAGGAACCUUACCCAGGUUUGAAAUGUAAAGGCUUUUGGUGGAGACACCAUUUUCAUUUUAUGACUUUUAUGUAGGUGCUGCAUGGUUGUCGUCAGCUCGUGCCGUGAGGUGUCGGCUUAAGUGCCAUAACGAGCGCAACCCUUGUCGGUAGUUACCAUCAGGUUAAGCUGGGGACUCUACCGAGACUGCCAUCGUAAGAUGCGAGGAAGGUGGGGAUGACGUCAAAUCAGCACGGCCCUUACGUCUGGGGCGACACACGUGUUACAAUGGUAAGUACAGAGGGUUGCUACCCCGCGAGGGGAUGCAAAUCUCGAAAGCCGAUCUCAGUUCGGAUUGGAGUCUGCAACUCGACUCUAUGAAGCUGGAAUCGCUAGUAAUCGCGCAUCAGCCAUGGCGCGGUGAAUACGUUCCCGGGCCUUGUACACACCGCCCGUCAAGCCAUGGGAGCUUGGGGUACCUGAAGUUCGUAACCGUGAGGGGCGACCUAGGGUAAAACAGGUAACUAGGGCUAAGUCGUAACAAGGUAACC